rnacentral:rRNA from 1 species
UGAGGAAUAUUGGUCAAUGGGCGGGAGCCUGUACCAGCCAAGCCGCGUGACGGAAGAAGGCGCUAAGCGUCGUAAACGUCUUUUGCCGGGGAACAAAGGCGCGGACGCGUCCGCGUGUGAGUGUACCCGGAGAAAAAGCAUCGGCUAACUCCGUGCCAGCAGCCGCGGUAAUACGGAGGAUGCGAGCGUUAUCCGGAUUUAUUGGGUUUAAAGGGUGCGUAGGCGGCCCGUUAAGUCAGCGGUAAAAAGCCCGGGGCUCAACCCCGGCGAGCCGUUGAAACUGGGGGGCUAGAGACGGCGAGAAGUACGCGGAAUGCGCGGUGUAGCGGUGAAAUGCAUAGAUAUCGCGCAGAACUCCGAUCGCGAAGCAGCGUACCGGCGCCGGACUGACGCUGAGGCACGAAAGCGUGGGUAUAGAACAGGAUUAGAUACC